CGUGAAAAUACUUUCUUUAAUUGACAAGUCCAGCAAUCCAAGAUAAAAUAUAGCAACGAGUGGGUUCUUAGAUGUUUCUUUGUAUUUGAGCAUAUUAAGCUUAAAGGCAGAAAGUGUUAAACUGUUUUUUGAAAGCAUACUGUGUUUUUUUUAAUUCUUUGUCCACAAAAGGACUAUCUGAAUGUAUAAUGCAGAGCUAGUUUGGAAAGACCAAGAAAAUUAAAGAGAAUUAGAAGCAAAAAGACCUGAAGGAAGAGCACCUGUGUGUGGGAAGUGAGCUAUGUAGCAUCCACCAUGUACAAGCUUGAUGUUUUACUUCAGAGUUUCGAAGAUAAUUUGUACACUACUUUGCCUACCUUAAAGAUGAUUAUAAACUAAGAAGAGAGGCAUUUGACCCAUGUGUUAUCAACUCAAGGUCCCACUGAUCUUGCUGGAUUGGAAGUGGAUGGCUAUCACACUGAGGACCACUAGGCGUUGGUGGCCAAUUGGAAAAGUCAUCUGAAAACUUCCUUGAAGCAACCAUUGGGUAAGUCAUUUGGACAUUGCUUUUCACUCUGUUCUUCAUCCUGAGAGUUGAUGUGUUGGUUUCCCAAGGGCUGGCUCUUAAACCCACUAGGCCCUGCUUUAAUCAUAAACAUAAUCAAAU
ensembl:lncRNA